rnacentral:rRNA from 1 species
AGAGUUUGAUCAUGGCUCAGGAUGAACGCUAGCGGCAGGCCUAAUACAUGCAAGUCGAGGGGCAGCAGGAGUAGCAAUACUCGCUGGCGACCGGCGCACGGGUGCGUAACACGUAUACAAUCUGCCUUUAACAGGGGGAUAGCCCGGAGAAAUCCGGAUUAAUACCCCAUAAUAGAUUUGUCGGCAUCGAUAGAUUUUGAAAGCUCCGGCGGUUAAAGAUGAGUAUGCGUCUGAUUAGCUAGUUGGUGAGGUAACGGCUCACCAAGGCGACGAUCAGUAGGGGAUCUGAGAGGAUUAACCCCCACACGGAUACUGASACACGGAUCCGACUCCUACGGGAGGCAGCAGUAAGGAAUAUUGGACAAUGCCCGCAAGGGUGAUCCAGCCAUGCCGCGUGCAGGAAGACGGCCCUAUGGGUUGUAAACUGCUUUUACACCGGAGAAAACCCCACUACGUGUAGUGGGCUGAUAGUAUGGUGAGAAUAAGCAUCGGCUAACUUCGUGCCAGCAGCCGCGGUAAGACGAAGGAUGCAAGCGUUAUCCGGAUUCAUUGGGUUUAAAGGGAGCGUAGGUGGCCUUAUAAGUCAGUGGUGAAAUCUUCGAGCUUAACUCGGAAAUUGCCAUUGAUACUGUAGGGCUUGAGUAUAGUUGCCGUUGGCGGAAUAUGACAUGUAGUGGUGAAAUACAUAGAGAUGUCAUAGAACACCGAUUGCGAAGGCAGCUGACGAAACUAUAACUGACACUGAGGCUCGAAAGUGCGGGGAUCAAACAGGAUUAGAUACCCCUGUAGUCC